GAGAAAAGCUACUUCCUGUCUUUACUGCCGAUGAAAAUACAUCUACUGACAUUGUCAAAUGCCCGUCGACACCUGAUCCCAACUGCAAAAAAACUGUGCCACAGUGUAUGAAGCAAGGUUCAUAAAGACAUGGUUGGAGGAGUUUGGAGUGGAAGAAUUUGACUAGGCCACACGGAGACCUGACCUCAACCCCAUCGAACACCUUUGGGAUGAACUGGAACGGAGAUUGCAAGCCAGGCCUUCUCGUCUAACAUCAGUGCCUGACCUCGCAAAUGCUCUACUGGGUAAAUGGGCAAACAUUCCCACAGAAACACUUUAAAAUCUUGUGGAAAGCCUUCCUAGAAGUUUGGAAGCUGUUAUAGCUGCAAAGGGGCACCGACUCUAUAUGAAUGUUGAUGUGUUUAGAAUGCGAUGCCAUUACGGUCCCUGUUGUUGUAAUGCUGCAUUUAUGUCACGUUUUUCUUGUAACUUCAUGAAACAUGCUCCGAAAAGUUUGUGGAAAAGUGCACAUCAUUAUUUACAGCAGAUUCUCAUGAUUAAAAUGAAUCCAAAAUCAACAUAA